rnacentral:lncRNA from 1 species
AGUCCAUAGAUAUAUACAACACUCUUCAAAAUGCCGUUCAUGAGUUUGGAUGACUUGCUGAUGAUGGGCACAUUUUGCACAAUCGUAGAGGAUCUGCAGAGAGUUCACCGAACGCUUGAUGAGCAUGGGAGAAUUUUACGAAGAUUAGAAAAUUAUGCUGCCGGCCUUGGAAUAAAGCCCAAAUCAGAAUAUGAAACUUGCUACCAAGAAUCCUUGUCACAUUUCCAGAAACGCAAAAAGAAAGGACUACCUGCCUCUGUAAUUGAAGAAAUCAAAAAGUCUCAAAAGAAGAAUUCUGGGGAGGACACAAAACAAAAUCAAGGAACUGAAGAGAGUGAGGUUAAAGAAACGGCCUCAAAAAAGAGACGCAACCGCAAGAAGAAGCAGUUAAAUAGAAAAGAAGGUCUCUCUGAAAAUCAGGGUAAAACUCAAGACGAGUUGCAUUGUCAAAUGUCAGAUGAAACUUCCUCAGGAGAGAACUCAAAACAGGAAAAUUCACCUUAAGAGAACUUCCCUCACCAAGAUGUAGAGGAAGUUCGAUUUCAUUUCCCGCCGGGUUCAGUGAAACUAGACUUUUGGAGGAAUUUCAUCUUGAAACAGUUUAACUAAGUAAUUUUUGCUCCAACUUUGCCAAGGUAUGAAUAGUUUUCUUAUUGAUUAGUAUAUAUACCCUCUUAUGUCGUGACCUACUUUAUUGGAGUAAUUUUUAGCCGAAUGAAGAAAAAACAUGAGUUGAAUUUUCUCCAAUUCCUCAAAUUUUAUUUUUCCGAAUAACUGUCUUGUAGUUUUGAAUCUCAUGUGUUUUUUACGCUCUUUUCUUUAUCUUUAUUUAGUUACUCUAAAUUAGUAAUUUUUGUUUUGUUCUUUGCAACCCUUUUUUUUUUUAGUUUUUAGGUUGAUUUAUUUACUUUUAGUUUUGUUCUUGCCAACCUUUCUAUUCAGAUGUGAAAGUGUCCGCUAAUGAGAAUUAUACUCCUACUUUAAUCUGCUGACUUCUAGGUUGUUUUUGUGAAGCUCAUGUCUUCUAACUUGCUUUCUCUUGUCUGAGGCCUACGUUAGCUUCUGUAGUAAAAAUUUUUCCAAUGUUAAAUACGGAGAUAGUGAAUCACCAGAUUUUUCGUAGGACAUAAAUCCUUAUCAUGUUUUUUAAUAUUCUGAUAAGUUGUCUUCUCCCGGUUCAUCCUGAAUAUUAGUUCUCCAUUUUUGUGUUACUCAGAUAGAAAGGCCUCCUUACUUUAUUCAGUAUUUUUUAAGCUUAUUUCGUUUCUAUUUUAUGUUUCCCACUUUCACUUUUUUCCUUGUAAAACUAAAUGUUAGUCUCUCUUUUUAAACAAAACUGGACAAGUACUUCAAAACUUGAGUAGGCAUUUUCUUUUACAUUUCUGUUGUACAUAGUAGUAUCAAUUUCUCAGUUGCAUAUUCUGCAAACUUAGAGGAUUGUUACAGUUUUCGUACUCAAAAUCGUUAAAUAAAAUGUUCUCCCUUCUCUUGGGUUUUAUAAUAAGUUUUUGCAGAUUGUGUAAUUUAAAGCAACUAGCUCACCUUCAGCCAGAAAACCUGUUACACAAAAGCGCCCCAGCAACAGGAGGUUUAUUGAAAAAUGAUUUGUGCUGAAAGUGAACCUGUGAUUAUUUCUUAAGUCUUCAUAUUAUUAUUUUUCCAAACGAAUUCUUGAUAAGCAACUUAAUGUUUCUGUCAUGUUAUUAUGUUAUUAUGUAUAUUUAAUAGGAAUAAAAGUUAUAUCCGUUGCAUUUUUCAAUACCAACCUUGUUAUUUC